GGCGCACGGGUGAGUAACACGUGGGUAAUCUGCCCUGAAGUGGGGGAUAACACCGGGAAACCGGUGCUAAUACCGCAUACGAUCACGAGGUCUGCGGAUUUUGUGAUGAAAGGAGCAAUUCGCUUUAGGAGGAGCCCGCGGCUGAUUAGCUAGUUGGUGAGGUAACGGCUCACCAAGGCUUAGACGGGUAGCUGGUCUGAGAGGACGACCAGCCACACUGGAACUGAGACACGGUCCAGACACCAUACGGGUGGCAGCAGUCGAGAAUUUUUCUCAAUGGGCGAAAGCCUGAAGGAGCGACGCCGCGUGGGGGAUGAAUGGCUUCGGCCCGUAAACCCCUGUCAUUUGCGAACAAAUUAUUUUACCUAACACGUAAAGUAUUGAUAGUAGCGGAAGAGGAAGGGACGGCUAACUCUGUGCCAGCAGCCGCGG
rnacentral:rRNA from 1 species